rnacentral:rRNA from 1 species
GAUGAACGCUGGCGGCGUGCCUAAUACAUGCAAGUCGAGCGAACGGACGAGAAGCUUGCUUCUCUGAUGUUAGCGGCGGACGGGUGAGUAACACGUGGAUAACCUACCUAUAAGACUGGGAUAACUUCGGGAAACCGGAGCUAAUACCGGAUAAUAUUUUGAACCGCAUGGUUCAAAAGUGAAAGACGGUCUUGCUGUCACUUAUAGAUGGAUCCGCGCUGCAUUAGCUAGUUGGUAAGGUAACGGCUUACCAAGGCAACGAUGCAUAGCCGACCUGAGAGGGGGAGCGGCGCCGCCGGAACUGAGACACGGGCCAGACUCCUACGGGAGGCAGCAGUAGGGAAUCUUCGGCGAUGGGCGAAAGCCUGACGGAGCAACGCCGCGUGGGUGAUUAAGGCCUUCGGAUCGGAAAACUCUGUUAUUAGGGAAGAACAUAUGUGUAAGUAACUGUGCACAUCUUGACGGUACCUAAUCAGGAAGCCACGGCUAACUACGUG